rnacentral:rRNA from 1 species
CCUACGGGGCGCUGCAGUCGAGAAUCAUUCACAAUGGGGGAAACCCUGAUGGUGCGACGCCGCGUGGGGGAAUGAAGGUCUUCGGAUUGUAAACCCCUGUCAUGUGGGAGCAAAUUAAAAAGAUAGUACCACAAGAGGAAGAGACGGCUAACUCUGUGCCAGCAGCCGCGGUAAUACAGAGGUCUCAAGCGUUGUUCGGAAUCACUGGGCGUAAAGCGUGCGUAGGCUGUUUCGUAAGUCGGGUGUGAAAGGCGCGGGCCCAACCCGCGGACGGCACAUGAUACUGCGAGACUAGAGUAAUGGAGGGGGAACCGGAAUUCUCGGUGUAGCAGUGAAAUGCGUAGAUAUCGAGAGGAACACUCGUGGCGAAGGCGGGUUCCUGGACAUUAACUGACGCUGAGGCACGAAGGCCAGGGGAGCGAAAGGGAUUAGAUACCCCAGUAGUC